AGGACGAACGCUGGCGGCGUGCCUAACACAUGCAAGUCGAACGGAGCCCGCAAGGGUUCAGUGGCGAACGGGUGCGUAACACGUGAGGAACUUGUCCAUCGGCGGGGGAUAGCCGGCCCAACGGCCGGGUAAUACCGCGUACGCCGUCCGGAGCGCAUGCUCUGGCCGGGAAAGCAGCAAUGCACCGAUGGAGAGCCUCGCGGCCUAUCAGCUAGUUGGUGGGGUAAUGGCCUACCAAGGCGACGACGGGUAGCUGGUCUGAGAGGAUGACCAGCCACAUUGGGACUGAGACACGGCCCAGACUCCUACGGGAGGCAGCAGUGGGGAAUAUUGCGCAAUGGGCGAAAGCCUGACGCAGCGACGCCGCGUGUGGGAUGACGGCCUCGGGUUGUAACCACUGUCGCGAGGGACGAAGAUCUGACGGUACCUCGAAGGAAGCACCGGCUAACUCUGCGCCAGCAGCCGC
rnacentral:rRNA from 1 species